AUACUUACCUGGCAAGGGGGAUACCAUGAAGAGAAGGUGGUUCACCCAUAGCGAGGCUCAGCCAUUGCACUGAGGCUGUUGCGAAUUCCCCAAAUGUGGGAAUCUCGAUUGCAUAAUUUCUGGUAGUGGGGAACUGCGUUUGCGCUCUCUCCUG
ensembl:snRNA U1 U1 spliceosomal RNA